rnacentral:rRNA from 1 species
UACGAAGGGGGCGAGCGUUGUUCGGAUUUACUGGGCGUAAAGGGCGCGCAGGCGGCUUAUUUUGUCAGGCGUGAAAGCCCCGGGCUUAACCUGGGACUGCGUUUGAUACGGAUGGGCUAGAGUUCGGGAGAGGAGAGUGGAAUUCCCAGUGUAGAGGUGAAAUUCGUAGAUAUUGGGAAGAACACCGGUGGCGAAGGCGGCGAGCUGGUCCGUUACUGACGCUGAGGCGCGACAGCGUGGGGAGCAAACAG